rnacentral:rRNA from 1 species
UACAGAGGGUGCAAGCGUUGUUCGGAUUUAUUGGGCGUAAAGGGUUCGUAGGCGGACCGGAAAGUCAGAUGUGAAAUCCCACAGCUCAACUGUGGAACUGCAUUUGAAACUUCCGGACUAGAGUGUGAGAGGGGUAAAGGGAAUUCCCGGUGUAAGGGUGAAAUCUGCAGAGAUCGGGAGGAACACCAGUCGCGAAGGCGCUUUACUGGCUCACUACUGACGCUCAGGAACGAAAGCUAGGGUAGCAAACGGG